rnacentral:rRNA from 13 species
CCGAAAAUGUACCGGGGCUAAACGGAUUACCGAAGCUGUGGAUGGACAUCAACGAUGUCCGUGGUAGGAGAGCGUUCUAAGGGCGUUGAAGUCAGACCGGAAGGACUGGUGGAGCGCUUAGAAGUGAGAAUGCCGGUAUGAGUAACGAAAGACGGGUGAGAAUCCCGUCCACCGAUUGACUAAGGUUUCCAGAGGAAGGCUCGUCCGCUCUGGGUUAGUCGGGUCCUAAGCUGAGGCCGACAGGCGUAGGCGAUGGAUAACAGGUUGAUAUUCCUGUACCACCUAUAAUCGUUUUAAUCGAUGGGGGGACGCAGUAGGAUAGGCGAUGCGUACGAUUGGAUUG